rnacentral:rRNA from 1 species
CCUACGGGAGGCAGCAGUGGGGAAUAUUGGGCAAUGGGCGCAAGCCUGACCCAGCAACGCCGCGUGAAGGAAGAAGGCUUUCGGGUUUUAAACUUCUUUUAAGAGGGAAGAGCAGAAGACGAUACCUCUUGAAUAAGCCACGGCUAACUACGUGCCAGCAGCCGCGUUAAUACGUAGGUGGCAAGCGUUGUCCGGAGUUACUGGGUGUAAAGGGCGUGCAGCCGGGAAGAAAAGUCAGAUGUGAAAUCCCGCGGCUCAACCGCGUAACUGCAUGUGAAACUGUUUUUCUUGAGUACCGGAGAGGUCAUCGGAAUGCCUUGUGUAGCGGUGAAAUGCUUAGAUAUCACGAAGAACCCCGAUUGCGAAGGCAGCUUACUAACCUGUGACUGACAUUGAUGCUCGAAAGUGUGGAUAUCAAACAGGAUUAGAUACCCCUGUAGUC